GUUACGCAGAAGGCAAGGAAGAACGAACGAAAACGUAGAACGAACGAAAACGCUCCUCCGACUGAUUCCUCCAGCGAUGCUAGUUGAGGCAAUCCCUUCGAGGCUCCGACGACGUGAACGCAGACUAAGACGCUAUCACGCUUGACUCCUCCAACGGUUUGAAAGCAAACACAAACGCUCCUCCAGCCACAAACAUUAGUUGUUGAACAAAGAUGCAGACGCUCCUCUGGCUUGAAACGUUAGUUGAACGUAAACCUUGAUUGAAGUUGAAGUUGACGAUUAGCAAAGUUCCAUAUGAUUGAUAAACACUAGGUAGUAGGCACUACGCAGAAUGUCGACCAGUUUGACCAAUAACGAAGGUAACACGAAAUCAGAUACAAGUAGCAAGAUCAAUAAUUGGUCUAGUGUGAACGAAAAUGAUGUCGUUGAGGUUAUCAUGCCACCACCAGAACUCCAACCAUCUCGAAAGAAGAGGAAAAACACGUUUAUGGUAUGGGAUCAUUUUACUAAAUGCUCUAAAUAUAGUGAUGAUGAUCCACAUGCUAAAUGUAAUUAUUGUGACGCGGUGUAUGCAUGCCAUCCAAGAAGAAAUGGAAAUUCAACUAUGAGAAUGCAUCUUGAACAUUA